UAGCUUCUCCUUAUGUUUUGGGC
rnacentral:miRNA from 1 species